UGGCUCAGUUGGUAGAGCAUGGUGCGUGCAACGCCAGAGUUGUGGGUUCGAUUCCUAC
rnacentral:tRNA from 1 species